UCCCUUACCCGUUAUCCUUUGUCUUCUCAAAACCAAGAGAAAAUCUUACUCCCACUCAGGCACUCAUUGCAUAAACCCAAAAAACAACUCCAUAAAAGCACUUAGUAAGAAUAGAAACUUUGAUUUAUUUUCUUUGUUUGAAGUUUAAUUUAUCAUGUUUUCCCCUCUUCUCUCUAUUUCUUCUGCAAAUCUGAAAAAUUAGGAUAGAUCUGCAAUCCAUGCGUUAUGGGUAAUUAGGAGAAGAAGAAGAAAGAUGUUUGCUUUGCUGAGAAACAUGUUUAUGUAGGAAAAUGGAGAAGAUAUCAUGGGUAUUUUGGUAAAGUACCUUCCACUUGAGAAAUUAAAUCCAAAACCACGUUUCCUCCGCCGUGAAAGCUAGGAACACCAGCGUCAUUGGAAAUGGCGUUUUGAGCUCUGAACUGCGUUUUCUAGAUUCAGUUUUUAUUCAUCCAAACAAGACAAAAAAUGGGGAAACCGCGUUUGAGAAUGGAAACGGAGGUUUGGCUGAAAAAACGUGUGGCCAAACACACUUCUUCUCUUACACGAUCUAUUUUCAUCUCUCACUGCAACUACAAUCUUCACCACCACUGACCUCACCACCUCACCCUACUCAUCGGUCACCACCACCAUCGUUCUUGUCAAUCACCACCACCACCGUCCUCACCAUCACACCCUUCGUUUUCAACACCACCACUCCAUCACGCCAUCCUCAACACCGUCGCCGUCAUCCAUCACAUUCGUCAUUUCCUCGCACCUUCAAUCUUAGACCUCACCUUCAAUCACCACCACCACCGUCGCUUCCCCAUCACGCCGUCGGCUUCCUCCGUCGCUCUCUCUAUCUUUUGACCUCCAAAUUUGUCUCAUGACCAACAUCUCUCAUGGUGGCAGCAUUCGAAGUUGCCGGAACGUUACCAGCAGCCUAGACUCUCCCCAAUGAGCACCUCAUCACAAAUGGGUAACUCAACCUAAUCCUAUUUUCAUAAAACUAUUCUUUUGCUGUUUGAUUUGAUGUAUCUCAAAUAAUAACCUCGCCCUUUGGUGUUUCUUAUUUCAUCAAUACAAUAAAAAGAAAACUUCUCCAUGGGAAGAAGCCAAAGGAGCAAAAAGUAGAAAGUACUGAGGGAGAGCUCUUUAUGAUGCAAAGACGUUGGAAACAUGCAUACUUGGAGCAUGAGAAAAGGUUUGCUGAACUCUUCAAGAAGCAUGCAGAGGAAAAGAAGCGGAUGCUGAUUGAAGAAGAAAAGUAGCGUCUUGAAAAAGGGAAAGAGGAGCAGUUACUGAUAGGUUGAAACCAUGUUAUGCUAUGCUCUUGGCCAGAGAAUCGUGUCGUCUUUUGUACAAGAGUUUGGCUCUAUGAUGCAGAAGAAUUUUAUUUAUACUCAAACACACAAAUAAUGUUACUUUAAUGUAGUAUACGAGAAAGGCAUGAAUUU